rnacentral:tRNA from 1 species
GCCCGAUUAACUCAAUGGAAGAGUGUCUCCCUUACAAGGAGAGGGUUGUAGGUUCAAGUCCUGCAUCGGGCCCCA